UUAAGCGACUAAGCGUACACGGUGGAUGCCCUGGCAGUCAGAGGCGAUGAAGGACGUGCUAAUCUGCGAAAAGCGUCGGUAAGGUGAUAUGAACCGUUAUAACCGGCGAUGUCCGAAUGGGGAAACCCAGUGCAAUUCGUUGCACUAUCGUUAACUGAAUACAUAGGUUAACGAGGCGAACCGGGGGAACUGAAACAUCUAAGUACCCCGAGGAAAAGAAAUCAACCGAGAUUCCCCCAGUAGCGGCGAGCGAACGGGGAGCAGCCCAGAGUCUGAAUCAGCUUGUGUGUUAGUGGAACGGUCUGGAAAGUCCGACGGUACAGGGUGAUAGUCCCGUACACCAAAAUGCACAGGUUGUGAACUCGAAGAGUAGGGCGGGACACGUGGUAUCCUGUCUGAAUAUGGGGGGACCAUCCUCCAAGGCUAAAUACUCCUGACUGACCGAUAGUGAACCAGUACCGUGAGGGAAAGGCGAAAAGAACCCCGGCGAGGGGAGUGAAAAAGAACCUGAAACCGUGUACGUACAAGCAGUGGGAGCACCUUCGGGUGUGACUGCGUACCUUUUGUAUAAUGGGUCAGCGACUUAUAUUCUGUAGCAAGGUUAACCGUAUAGGGGAGCCGCAGGGAAACCGAGUCUUAACUGGGCGUUAAGUUGCAGGGUAUAGACCCGAAACCCGGUGAUCUAGCCAUGGGCAGGUUGAAGGUUGGGUAACACUAACUGGAGGACCGAACCGACUAAUGUUGAAAAAUUAGCGGAUGACUUGUGGCUGGGGGUGAAAGGCCAAUCAAACCGGGAGAUAGCUGGUUCUCCCCGAAAGCUAUUUAGGUAGCGCCUCGUGAACUCAUCUUCGGGGGUAGAGCACUGUUUCGGCUAGGGGGUCAUCCCGACUUACCAACCCGAUGCAAACUACGAAUACCGAAGAAUGUUAUCACGGGAGACACACGGCGGGUGCUAACGUCCGUCGUGAAGAGGGAAACAACCCAGACCGCCAGCUAAGGUCCCAAAGUCAUGGUUAAGUGGGAAACGAUGUGGGAAGGCACAGACAGCCAGGAUGUUGGCUUAGAAGCAGCCAUCAUUUAAAGAAAGCGUAAUAGCUCACUGGUCGAGUCGGCCUGCGCGGAAGAUGUAACGGGGCUAAACCAUGCACCGAAGCUGCGGCAGCGACACUAUGUGUUGUUGGGUAGGGGAGCGUUCUGUAAGCCUGCGAAGGUGACCUGUGAGGGUUGCUGGAGGUAUCAGAAGUGCGAAUGCUGACAUAAGUAACGAUAAAGCGGGUGAAAAGCCCGCUCGCCGGAAGACCAAGGGUUCCUGUCCAACGUUAAUCGGGGCAGGGUGAGUCGACCCCUAAGGCGAGGCCGAAAGGCGUAGUCGAUGGGAAACAGGUUAAUAUUCCUGUACUUGGUGUUACUGCGAAGGGGGGACGGAGAAGGCUAUGUUAGCCGGGCGACGGUUGUCCCGGUUUAAGCAUGUAGGCUGGUUGUCCAGGCAAAUCCGGAUAAUCAAGGCUGAGGUGUGAUGACGAGGCACUACGGUGCUGAAGUAACAAAUGCCCUGCUUCCAGGAAAAGCCUCUAAGCAUCAGGUAACAUCAAAUCGUACCCCAAACCGACACAGGUGGUCAGGUAGAGAAUACCAAGGCGCUUGAGAGAACUCGGGUGAAGGAACUAGGCAAAAUGGUGCCGUAACUUCGGGAGAAGGCACGCUGGUGUGUAGGUGAAGUCCCUGCGGAUGGAGCUGAGACCAGUCGAAGAUACCAGCUGGCUGCAACUGUUUAUUAAAAACACAGCACUGUGCAAACACGAAAGUGGACGUAUACGGUGUGACGCCUGCCCGGUGCCGGAAGGUUAAUUGAUGGGGUUAUCCGUAAGGAGAAGCUCUUGAUCGAAGCCCCGGUAAACGGCGGCCGUAACUAUAACGGUCCUAAGGUAGCGAAAUUCCUUGUCGGGUAAGUUCCGACCUGCACGAAUGGCGUAAUGAUGGCCAGGCUGUCUCCACCCGAGACUCAGUGAAAUUGAACUCGCUGUGAAGAUGCAGUGUACCCGCGGCAAGACGGAAAGACCCCGUGAACCUUUACUAUAGCUUGACACUGAACAUUGAGCCUUGAUGUGUAGGAUAGGUGGGAGGCUUUGAAGCGUGGACGCCAGUCUGCGUGGAGCCAACCUUGAAAUACCACCCUUUAAUGUUUGAUGUUCUAACGUUGGCCCCUUAUCGGGGUUGCGGACAGUGUCUGGUGGGUAGUUUGACUGGGGCGGUCUCCUCCCAAAGCGUAACGGAGGAGCACGAAGGUUAGCUAAUCCUGGUCGGACAUCAGGAGGUUAGUGCAAUGGCAUAAGCUAGCUUGACUGCGAGCGUGACGGCGCGAGCAGGUGCGAAAGCAGGUCAUAGUGAUCCGGUGGUUCUGAAUGGAAGGGCCAUCGCUCAACGGAUAAAAGGUACUCCGGGGAUAACAGGCUGAUACCGCCCAAGAGUUCAUAUCGACGGCGGUGUUUGGCACCUCGAUGUCGGCUCAUCACAUCCUGGGGCUGAAGUAGGUCCCAAGGGUAUGGCUGUUCGCCAUUUAAAGUGGUACGCGAGCUGGGUUUAGAACGUCGUGAGACAGUUCGGUCCCUAUCUGCCGUGGGCGCUGGAGAAUUGAGGGGGGCUGCUCCUAGUACGAGAGGACCGGAGUGGACGCAUCACUGGUGUUCGGGUUGUCAUGCCAAUGGCACUGCCCGGUAGCUAAAUGCGGAAGAGAUAAGUGCUGAAAGCAUCUAAGCACGAAACUUGCCCCGAGAUGAGUUCUCCCUGAGACUUUAAGUCUCCUGAAGGAACGUUAAAGACGAUGACGUUGAUAGGCCGGGUGUGUAAGCGCAGCGAUGCGUUGAGCUAACCGGUACUAAUGAACCGUGAGGCUUAACCUU
rnacentral:rRNA from 1 species